GACGAACGCUGGCGGCGUGCCUAAUACAUGCAAGUAGAACGCUGAAGGAGGAGCUUGCUCUUCUGGAUGAGUUGCGAACGGGUGAGUAACGCGUAGGUAACCUGCCUGGUAGCGGGGGAUAACUAUUGGAAACGAUAGCUAAUACCGCAUAACAGUAGAUAUCGCAUGAUAGCUGCUUAAAAGGUGCAAUUGCACCACUACCAGAUGGACCUGCGUUGUAUUAGCUAGUUGGUGAGGUAACGGCUCACCAAGGCCACGAUACAUAGCCGACCUGAGAGGGUGAUCGGCCACACUGGGACUGAGACACGGCCCAGACUCCUACGGGAGGCAGCAGUAGGGAAUCUUCGGCAAUGGACGGAAGUCUGACCGAGCAACGCCGCGUGAGUGAAGAAGGUUUUCGGAUCGUAAAGCUCUGUUGUAAGAGAAGAACGAGUGUGAGAGUGGAAAGUUCACACUGUGACGGUAUCUUACCAGAAAGGGACGG
rnacentral:rRNA from 1 species